ACGGAGGGUGCAAGCGUUGUCCGGAUUUAUUGGGUUUAAAGGGUGCGUAGGUGGCUUUUUAAGUCUGACCUGAAAGUGGGCCGCUUAACGGCACAGGGUGGUUGGAUACUGAAGAGCUUGAAGAGGGUGGAGGCCGCCGGAACGGAUCGUGUAGCGGUGAAAUGCAUAGAGAUGAUCCAGAACCCCGAUUGCGUAGGCAGGCGGCUACGCCCCACUUGACACUGAGGCACGAGAGCAUGGGGAGCAAACAGGA
rnacentral:rRNA from 1 species